ensembl:lncRNA
CAGCUAGACCAGCGUUUACAUCUUUGAUUGAAACAAACCCUCAAAGAACAAAGCUGGUGGUCCAACCAAUAUCUGCUCCCCUCCCCCACUUAAGGAGCAAAGCUACUUCAAUAGAGGCCAAGAUGCUUUUUAGGUUUUCUAAUGGCAAGUAAUUGGGUAUUCAUGUAAAUGACUUCACUUGCUUUUGUCUGUCAUUGUAUUGUACUUGGAUACAACUUGAUGGCUAAGUGUCUAAGCAGUAAUUGUAUUAGUUGCUUAUUGUUUGGUUACGUUUUUGUAUUUUAAAGAGUGGGGAUGUGUGUAGGCUUUCUUUUCCUCCCCCUUUGCAUUUUCAGUGUGCCGUGUCCCUGAAUGCUUUCAACUGAAGAUGUCCUCCUAACAUUGUAUGUAAAGAUUUGCUUUCACAUCAAUCAACUUCAGCCUCUUUUGGUCACGUAAGGUCACUAAGCAAGCCCAUUUGUUCCUAACCUUUUUCCAUUAAUAGUCUGUUAUAAUUGUAAGCUGUGUGGUUGAGCACUUAUUACAAAUUAGCUUUUGUAAUUUGUAUGCAAGUGUACAUUCUGUAAUUGUUCCCAUUUUCAGUUAAUAAAUGCAUAGCUUGUUGUGAUUGAAAUUUUGGUAUGCAUUUUGUUUCUUGGGGUAUGUGUGGGGCUUUCUUGGGUAUUUCUCUGCUUUUUCAGGUGUGAGUGUAAAGCUUGGCGCUUUUUGUAGAGCUUGGAUGCCAGGGCUUGAUGUCAACUGUUCAAGUUGGAGAGGCAGAUCAGUCCAGUCCUACAACUGCUCAGGUCAAGGGAAGAAAGGGGUCUGUCUUUUUGCCACUUUUGGUCUUGCAGAGUCUUACAAAGCCUCGUGAAGAAUGCCACCUCUCUGAAGUUAUGACCCAGUUCCACCGAAUUCUCCGGCAGGCAGAACAAUUCAUUGUGCUACAGUAAACUUUAAACUGUACUAUGCUUUUUAAAUAUUAAUUACCCAGCCACUGCUCUGCGCAACUGUGCAGGGUAGAAAAAAGUUGCUUUACAAAUGUAUAGUAAUGGUCUGUUCCACUGUUGCACAAAUGUGCUCCAGACUCCAAAUUAAGAGUGGCUGGGAAAAGCUGCGCAACUGUGCAGCUUUAUUUGGAACUGUUUGAACAACCGAAAGCUAUCUGGGAAAGAUGUGUUUGGGGUGGAGAGGGCUUUGCACUUUUCUCUUUUCUGCAGAAAUUUCAUCAGCCAGCUGUGUGGUGAAAGUUACAUGAUGUCGUCCUGUGGAGUCUAGUUACAAGGUGUCUGAAUCUUUAAACUUGAGUGUAGAAUCUUCACGUAACAUCAGUCACUAAUGCUUCAGAAGCUACGAUCCAUUUUUUUUUCUUAACUCCUUAGUUGAGUCAUACAGUUAGUAUUGCAGUUGGUGUGGUGGAAGUGUUUGUGUGUGUGUGUAGAAGCUCUGUUUCAGAUUACCCGUCUGUCUCCCUGCCUUCUCAACUGCAUCCGAAUGCAAGGCUGUCUGUGAGAGCAGUUGCCCUGGUGAAUGUCUUCACUUGAAUGGCGAUCGAAUCCCCCUACAAUGCACUUGAGAGCUUAGUCCAAACCUCGGAAGUCCUUCGCUGAAGUUCUUCUAUUUCUGCGCGUCUUUUUUUUUUUUUUUUUUUUUUUCUUCUUUCUUUUUCUUUUUCUCUUUCUCCAAUUCUUCAUUUUUCUUAGGUCAAUUUCACUUAGGGAGCAAAUUUGUCUUGUCGUCUGAGAGACCCCUAACCGCCUGAUGAAACAUCAAUUCGCUCUGAUCAACCUCAUUCGUCACUUUGCUAAUUGAGCAUCGCUCUGCUUCUAUUUGCUGAGUUAAGUACAUGUAGUUAACUUUAAUCUUGUGUAUGGGUAAAACAAGCACUCACCUUUACAUAAGUAUGCAUGCACAUAACAAUUGCACUAAAAUUUC